AACUUUCAACAACGGAUCUCUUGGUUCUCGCAUCGAUGAAGAACGCAGCGAAACGCGAUAGUUAAUGUGAAUUGCAGAAUUCAGUGAAUCAUCGAGUCUUUGAACGCACAUUGCGCCCAUUGGUAUUCCUUUGGGCAUGUCUGUUUGAGCGUCAUU
rnacentral:rRNA from 1 species